UAUUCAAAAUUUCAUCCAUUUCUAUUGUUAAAAACAUUGACGUGAUUGAUGGAAUAACCAUGCCACGUGUACAUCAUGGUUAUAUACACAGAUCGGUUUUUAAUAGUAAAAAUGGAUGGAACUUUUAAUA
rfam:Gossypium hirsutum cultivar TM-1 chromosome 5, whole genome shotgun sequence